GAUCAUGGCUCAGGACGAACGCUGGCGGCGUGCUUAACACAUGCAAGUCGAACGAAGAGCGAUGGAAGCUUGCUUCUAUCAAUCUUAGUGGCGAACGGGUGAGUAACGCGUAAUCAACCUGCCCUUCAGAGGGGGACAACAGUUGGAAACGACUGCUAAUACCGCAUACGAUCUGACCUCGACAUCGAGGAUGGAUGAAAGGUGGCCUCUAUUUAUAAGCUAUC
rnacentral:rRNA from 1 species